rnacentral:rRNA from 1 species
UAUGUGAUCGUCUCUCGCAUAUCAAUAAGCGGAGGAAAAGAAACUAACAAGGAUUCCCCUAGUAACGGCGAGUGAAGCGGGAAGAGCUCAAAUUUGAAAUCUUAAAGGGUUUCCCCUUACGAAUUGUAGUUUAAAGAAGUGUUUUCUGUUGAGGUUUUGGUAAAAGUUCUUUGGAAUAGGACAUCAUAGAGGGUGAGAAUCCCGUAUUUGACCUUUACUUUCAACUUUGUGAUACACUUUCAAAGAGUCGGAUUGUUUGGGAAUGCAGUCCAAAAUGGGUGGUAAAUUUCAUCUAAAGCUAAAUAUUGGCGAGAGACCGAUAGCGAACAAGUACCGUGAGGGAAAGAUGAAAAGAACUUUGAAAAGAGAGUUAAACAGUACGUGAAAUUGUCAAAAGGGAAGCGUUUGACACCAGUGUUGUUUUUCUGAAAAUCAAUUAAAGAACUGUUUAUGCUAAGUUGUUUAGACUUUAUCAGCUAACUGUUUAGUUUUGAGCUUUUCUUUAAUGCACUUUUCAGUUAACAAGUCAACAUCAAUUUCUUUUGCUGUAAGAAAGCUUGAGGAAGGUGGCUUGAGAUUCGUCUUAAGUGUUUAUAGCCUCUUGCCUAUGCAGUCGGAGAGAUUGAGGUCUGCAGCGUAGAUCCUUCGGGGCUAAAUGCAUUUGUGCUAAGUUAUAGCAUUUUAUAGACAACUUGUUGACUAUGAUUUGUCUUGUAGCUUACUCGCUUAUGUUAUUUUACCUACGCUUAGGAUGUUGACACACGCGCGUGCCG